rnacentral:ncRNA from 1 species
CGAUGUUCUCAGGGCGGGGUGAAAGUCCCCACCGGCGGUAAGGGCCGACAAGCCCAAGCCCGCGAGCGCCUUCCGCAAGGGUUUAUCCCGAACGGAAGGGUCAGCAGAUUCGGUGCAACUCCGAAGCCGACGGUUAAAGUCCGGAUGAAAGAGAACGGUC